rnacentral:rRNA from 1 species
GGACUACUGGGGUAUCUAAUCCUGUUUGCUCCCCACGCUUUCGCGUCUCAGCGUCAGUCACCGUCCAGAUGGCCGCCUUCGCCACCGGUGUUCUUCUCGAUAUCUACGAAUUUCACCUCUACACCGAGAGUUCCACCAUCCUCUCCGGGACUCUAGCCAAGCAGUAUCGAGUGCACUUCCAGGGUUGAGCCCUGGGCUUUCACAUCCGACUUGCCCGACCGCCUACACGCGCUUUACGCCCAGUAAUUCCGAACAACGUUUGCACCCUCUGUCUUACCGCGGCUGCUGGCAC